UGCUCUGGUAGCCGCCAAAGGCGAGCGACUAGCAACGUCCGUGCUGUUCUCUGGCCCUGUGUUGUUACAUCCGCCGCCCUGCUGCGAAUUGGUGUGGGAAGACGCCAGCGUAUCCCCGUUACAGUAGUAGUACGUCGAGUCUGCAAAAUCUCUUUCGUGUAACACUAUCAGGUUGUUGGAGAGAAGAUCGUGUCAGGGAUGUUUGGGGGACCGGAUAAUCCUCGGAAAGGAGAUACAUCAAUCACUGGUUUGCGGUUUCAAGUGGUGUGUUCCAAAGAAGAUAUGGGAGUGGAUGCUGACGCUACGACCUUGGAAGAACAUCCAACGUCACGAUGACGGGUAGUUUUCUACACUGGUAUAGCGGACGAGGCCAUCAGACAGAUUUUUCAUAUUAUUUCCACGGAGACGUCGAGCAAGAAGGACGACGAGCAGCUAGUGAAGCUCAUCAAAGAGGAAAUCGUAAGGACAGCGCACAGCAUCAAAACGCCGUCAGGUUCGAUCGAAGCCGCCGCCAAAAGAGCACAAACAUUGGUCACUGAAUUGACAGCCGCCUACACCACUGCCAUUUACAAAUCGAAAUCCUCGGAGGAAGCCAAACUCCGUCGACAACGACAUUGCCUGGGUUACACGUGUGUAUACGCGUAUGGCAACGAAAUUAUUCUGGCUGACGUAUGAGUCAGGGCAGACGAUCCAUUGUAAAAGCGGCAUGGGCUCAUAAUCUGGCGAUGUAGGAUCUCCAGGCCGAGCUGACCGGAACUGCGCCUAUGCUCUCUCGCCGGAAGUGCCGCUGCCACAUGUAGUAAUAUAAAUUAUAAUGCCCUUACGGUUUUUCCUUUCGCGGAUUUGCAUUUAAAACACCGGAAUGGCAUUGUCGUCGGGAUCGGCGCGAGCGAUUUUCAUGGAAAUAAGAAAACCGCGGGGGCCGACGCUCCUAUCCUGCGUUUCUAUUCUCUUGACUCUUCUGCUGCCUGGCUGUAUUUUUUUUUCUUCUUUUUUCUCUUUUUUCUUCUUUUUUUUCCUCGUGAUGUGACGAGAUAAUAUGGCAUAGAGGAGAGGGAACACGCGCGUUGAUAUCCAUCGAAUCGUGCCAAGGCUAAUCGGAGAUCAAAUCUGGAAACGGUUCGCUUUCACCAGCUCGGACAAUGGCCACUAAAGCUUUUCUAAUUUGUUUUGUUUCCUUGCCCGUCUCUAUUUUCCUUCGGCGUUUUGUUUUUCUUUCCUCGUUUCUUUAUCUUCCGGAGGACUCGCGGCCAGUUAGGAUGCGUGAGAUAUAGGAGAGUUUCCUUAAUUAAUUAGCUGCCAUGCUAAACGCGAAAACACGAACGUGCAAACCGGCUAAUUAGAAAUUAUUUAUUAACUAUUUAUCAUGGGCGAUGGUAAUUGUUGAUUGUACGAGGCCCGCGUUAUUGCGAGUUUUAAAAUAGAUACGAUGGAAGUCUUUGCUUGCAACGUAGUUUUCUUGCUAUCUUUGUAACUUCUGCGAGGAUUACGUGUCUGAAAAAGUCAAUCUUCGCGAUUGCAACAGUGUCGGUUGUGAAAAAUCGCAUAUUUAUGGAUUGAUUGUAAGGAAAUGAUUGUGAAAAGUUGCACGUAAGGUGUUUGGUCUUGGCUGCACAUACCUUACAGAAAUACCUGAUCUUUUUGAUAUUUAAUUUUUCAUUAAUUCAACUGUGAUCGCAAGAGAUACAAUGAACGUUAUUGCGAAUGUACAUUGCCGAAUGAAUUAAUUAACGUGCAAAGACCACAUAAACUAACAUUAUCUUCUUCAAAUGAAACGAAUGGUAAUUUUCCUCAAUAGAUCCUUAACUGAACACUUUUCUAAUCUAACGUAUAACGAUUUCAAGCUUUCAACCAUACUAUAUAUUUUACUUGCACCUAUGUAUAUAUGUUAUUAUAAAACAUCGUAGCUUGAAUUCUUGAAAUCCAGCGGCUAAAAUAAUUAAAUUCAUAAGUAAAACGUCUCAAUAACAUGCACAACGUCGCCAAGAUAUCAUAAACACUUUCGAAACAUAAAACGAAGAUUAAACGAAGUCCAAGCACUGUUGAACAAUCUUCAAGGCACAUCCUCGGGCUAAGAAAGGCUCUCCACGGUGUAUCUAAAUUUUCCACAUAAUCCUACGAAGUCCACUUGGUGCUGAACGAGCACCAAGGACACCCUGAAGGAGCAGAGCAGACUCUCGUCGUGGCCAGUUCGAAGUUACGACGAAGUCCGUGGCAUCUCAGGUGGAUUUUAUAUGGGAAACUGAUUCGACCACGAACCGGAGGAUAAUAUAACACCGAGGGCAUUUUGUUUUGUUGCGCAAGAGGAUAAUAAACAUCGUUCGGGCCCGCUACCGUGCCGACUAGAUAGCUACGACGAUGAAACAAUGCGGCAUUGUCCCUGCAGGCUGAACCGCCAAAGCACAGCCGAACCCAAGCACCGUGUUAAGUCAUGAACGGCGUUGCACGCGGCCUUAGAAACGUCCAAGCCACGUAGCUUCGAUAGAACCAGGGACCUGACCCCGGUCAAGCAUGCUCCUUCACGGAAAAAUCACGGCAAUGGCCUCUAUGUUCGCCGGAAACGGAAGAUCGACUUUAUGUUCGCGCGAGAUCCCCGAACCACUCGACAGUAAAAGCAAAAUAUCGUGCAGGCUUCGCUGCUGAUUUCUUCUCAACGUGCUUCUUGACGAAGGAAACAUCGAUGUAUGAGGACAAGCAGGAUAGGAAGAGUUUGCAAGUAUCGUACUCCUGUCGUAUUUUCGGCUAAAAAGUCGAAUGGGAAGUUACAGUUUUUGAUGGUAUUAGAUCGUCUGAAAAGUUUCUUUCGUUUUAUAAGGAAAUAAUGGAUGCACAACAUUUUUCGUCUUAUAUUAUUUUAUCGAAUUACGUAUGAUCCAUUUUGUUCUAUCAAAAUAAAGAUCACAACGUUCGACAGAUUAGGUUUCAUGUUUGUAUGAAGAUGCAUCGUUGUAAAAGACAGGUCUGUAAAAGAAAGACACUUUACGAACAACCUAAUAGUUUCAUUACGAUUGGAUGUUACAGAAUAGUCGAAUAUAUAAUUUUAUAUAAGAUAUAUUGGGAAUUCAUUUUCAGGAUAUUUUUAAUGACAGAGAAGAGCGAUUUGCUACGAUGAAAAGGUUUGCUCUCGAAGUUGUACCUUUCAAGGCAUUUGAAUGGGAAAGUUAUCUUUUACAGAAAAUGAAAAAUCUUCGAUCUUGCACAACUAAACUAAGGAACAGAGGAGCAAGAAUUAUUUCAAAAACUAUAGAGAAGAAGAAUGAGAAAGAACUUGGUGAACUGAAUGGAAGAAGAUGAUUCGAGGAUGAUUCGUUGGCUUUAGUCGGGCGACGCCGAUGCGCUAAUAUAACAAGAAACGUGGCGGCUGUUGCGCCGAGCGUACGGGAGCGAAGUAGCCUAGCUUAUGGUCCGGUGGUGCCCGAGGAGCAUAACAGUUCGCGGAGCAUAACGCCACGAGCCAUCAUAUCCUCCUUCCAGAAACCCUCUCCGGAGGUGUUCCACCUCCGCCUCCUCGUCUACCCCUCGUCCACGAUGAAAUCGGUGCUCCCCCCGGUCGUCGCGAGAGAGCACGAGUCCUCCUGGUGAGUGUACGCGUCACGCGUGUCCGUAGCCGCGUGGGGAUGCACGCUCUAGGAAGUGGAAGAGACGCAUGCAAACCUGACCACCUGGGACGAGUCUCCGACCAACCAGACAGGUGAUUUUUGGAACAGGUUUCGUCGAGAUUUUUCCGAUUUUUUGGUAGCUUUGAAAUUUACUUAAUCCUUAACGAGUAUCGUUUGAUCUGGAUCGACGAUUGUGAAAGUAGUUGAUUAGGUUUGGAUUAGGUGCUGGAUUUUGAAUAUUGUUGUGCUACUAGUAAUCGUGAAAGUUAUUUAGGAUUAGAUACUGAACUUUUUUUUUACCAAAUCCAAUGAAACUAACUAAUUUUAGGAUAGGUUUCUUCACAGUUUUUGAAAACUUUGGAACUUGUUUUUACCCAUAAUUGGUAUCGUUGGACCAUUAAUUACGUAUCAGACUUUGCGAUAUUUUAGGUAUUUGAGUUAAGAAUAAGUAAUAUUUAUUUCGUACUUCUUAUUUUACGCGAUAUAAAUCAUCGGUGAUAAGAUAAAACGCAAACUAAAAGUGGAGUCAGGCAAAUUACCGUGAUCAACUGUGAGAUAUUCAACUAUGGAAAGUUGAACUUCGUAGACCAGUGAGAGUGUUAAGGGUUGCGUUUUAAUAGAACUGGAGUUUCUAAACCAUAUUUGUAACACACCUCAUCUAUAAUAAUUAAAAAUAAAAGCCGAAACAUCGAAAUUCCUAGACGACGAUAGAAAUUCAAGCGAGCAAAAAACAGCGUAUCCGUGGAACGCACGCGAAUCGAAGGGGACAGGAAGGAGAGGAAAAAAAGAAUAGUGGAGCGCAUGCACAUACGUACACUGUGCCUAUGGUCGCGUAUUGCGUAUGUAGUGGAGAAGGUUUGAGCGCGUGCACGUACCAACAUACGUUCCUACAUACGUUUAUGCACAGGUAUCGUCGGCUUCCGCGAACUAGAUCGGCCGAGCAGAUAUUAGGAGCGCGUCUGCCCCGUUGCCAUUGCGGCAAGUGCUGGUCAUUGUCCACCCGGCAGGUACAGGAAGUCAACGCCGACCAACGACGGUGCACACAAACGAGAGAAGGAGAUUUUUCGGUAGGAUAAUCAUGGAGAAACUACAACGAGGUGCAAGAUUAUCGUCGCCCCGCUUUUGCGAAAACAACGCACGGUCCUAUAAUUAAGGGUGCGUUUUGUGUUACGAGAGAUGGGGUUGAAAAGGGACGUUAAUGUGCAAAGUUUUAUAGCUGUUCUAGGGGCUCUCUGUUCGAGGGAAAGGUUGAAAUAUUUAGGUGGAUGAAGUUUGUUCGGGGGUUGAGCGGGUUAAGUUUAGGCUACGCUGAGUUCAAAUUAAUUAGAAAAAUAGAUAGCGUGGGUAUUUUAAUCGUAGAAUAUAAAAUUCGGGUGGAAUAUUUAAAAAAUAGCUAAAUAUGAUGGACUUAGAGAAUAUUGAAAAGUGCUUGGAUAUAGUAAACUCGCUAGGAUAUGUAAGAUAUAUGACGGAAAAAUAGGAUCGAAAUAUCUAGAUGGAUAAAGUUUGUUGGAAAAUUAAUUAAAGGUAAAUCGUGCACCUGUUGGGGUAAGUUUGAAAUAAUAAGAUAUACAGAAAAUAAGGAACUGGCUAGGCACGGAAAUUGAAAUGUAAAUUGCAAGAGGAUUCGUAAGAAGUAGAAAUGAAACGUAAUAAUUGGAGUUAAUAGAAUUAAUCGAUCGUAUUCGAAAUUCAGGAUACCUAAAAUAACGAAAAUUCAACAUUAUCUAGUGACGAAUGUUAAACUGUAUCUGCCUGUUCGUUCUUCUAUAAAAAGAAACCGUUUCAAUUUAAACAUUCAACACGUCUGGUAAACGACGAUCACCAGGAUGGAAAGCUGUCAUUCCUUCGACUAAUUUUCCGUUUUCCUUCCUCUCUGGCAGAAUUUACGGUGCUGUUGCGACAAAUAAUCGUUGUCCGUCGCAGGCAGGAAGCUGACGAGGAGUUGGUUGGCCAGCGAGAGAUUUUCGGUACGAUAAUCGUAGGGAAACUCCGGACGCCCAUUGUGACAAUGGCCUCCCGAGGCAGCGCGAUAAUUACACCGGUAAUAACCUGGUAAAUAGAAAGAAACGUUCGGUAUCUUCUUUUCUGAUGCGAACUGUCGGAUAUUACUGACCAGCGAAAUUCGUUUGUUUCCUGCUAUCCAUCAUUCUCGAUUCACAACACACUGAGAAUCAUAAAUAAAAUCUGAAUCUAACACAGAGGCUAUUUAAUUCAUUGUUGCAAGAUUUUCGAGUGAUUAGGAAUGUUAAAGUGUGCUCAGCUAACAUUACUGACCACUAAUACGUACAUAUUGUUGAUAAAAGGAAUCAAAACGACUGGUACACGAAAAAAUAUUUAACAAAGAAUUAUCAGAAUACCCAUGAAUGCAACAAUUUGCAAAUUUAUAGAAUUCCGAUGAAAAAUUUGAAUUUCUAAAAUCGAUUACUUUGACUCUGUAAACAUCGUCUUUUCUGUAUUUUCUCUUCUAUUUUUUUCUUUUUCUUUUUCAAGACUCGCGAUCUCGAUUUAGAAAGGAUUAAUUUCCUGUUUUCCUCUGCGUGCACUCUAUUUUCCUUCUUACGACGAGGAGGACGAUUCAGGAGGAAGAGAUCGAGGGGAAGGCAAAGGAAGGAGGGUAAAAGUAAGUGAAUGAGUGGAUCUAAAUGGAAGUUGGAAGGAGAAGGAUCGUCAGGGCGGCACCUGACCGGAAAGCGUCACAGUCACCGCAUUCAGCCUCGUUCUUUCCUUUCCCUUCCCUAACUGGCUUCGCCUCUUUCGCCAGCCUUCUUCCUCCUCCACCACCUCCUUCGAUGAAGGGUUGCUUGCUCGUCCCUUUUUGCUUGACGAUCUACGAACCAGAGGAAUCCUCGUACCUCCUGACCACAUCAUGUAUGAAUGAACUGAGCCUCGGAUAUAAAAAUCGCUUUUUAGCAAUUUCUUUUCGAGUGUCCUUCCUACGUUCUUUUCGCGAGAUUCUUUUCGAAAUCUUAUUAAAAUAAAUUUUCUAACGACCUUCUUCCCCCAAAAAUGUUUCCUUCAAAUUCUGUUCUAAAAAGUUCCUUUCCAAUGUUUACGAACGCAAACUUUCUAUACAUCUUCUUCCUUUAGAAAUUCUUCAAAGCUUAUUUCUAUAUUUUCUUUCUUUCUAAGAUUCUUCCUCAAUUUCUAUCAAAUUAAAUUUUCCGUAUAUUUCCUUCAGCCAGAAAUUCCUCCAAUAUAAACCUUUCUCCUACGCUUCUUUUCGAAUCUGUACCAAAUUUUAAGAAUUCUUCCCCAAAUCUUUUCUCUUUUCUAAGAUUCUUCCCGUACUUUGAUCUCAGGUUAGCCUCGAGUUAAACUUUCUGGCUAUCGUCUCCUGCAAAUCUCUCGAAGUAUUUUUCGCAAGCUUACUUUCGAAUCCUUGUAAUAUUAAAUCUUCUGACCAUCUCCUCCAGAAAUUUAUAUAACAAAUGACCACAUAUCUGAUAAGUAAAUUGAAAAAUAACGAUUCGCGAUAACAGUUACAGCCAAUUUAUCCGGAUUUUCCAGCGAGAAUGCAAGUUAAUACAGGAAAGGGGCAACGAUGCUCAUCGAUAUGCGCAUAAACUCGAGCAUCGAACGAACGCCAAUCUAUAAAAGCGUAUGACGGUAGCAGAAGGUGGCUCGACGAAGGGAGGAGGCGAGGUAGACGAUAGCGAAGCGGAGGAGGAAAGACGUGGAGGAGGGAGGAGCAGUAGAUACAUAUUUCCAUACAAUUGCCGCUAUUGGUUCGUAUCUUAUGAUAUCGCCAUUAUGUGUGGGCCGGCGCAUUACAUAUGUACAUAGCACCAUUAUAUACAAAUUCCUAGUAAUGCGCCACUACUGCUGCAUUAAUGAUAAACUUGUUUAGAUAUCGCGAUAUUGCGAGCAAGCUUAUGUGAAAAAAUAAUAAUAAGAAAAAGAAAAGCAAGAAAAGAUUGCGUGUAAGACGUCAUGAGCAGUGGACGCGUUAUGCGGACGAUGAUAUGGAACAUGUGUUGUGGAACGUGUCAUCGACGAGUGCGUACAGGCAUUAGUAGCGCUGUCUGAAACGGAUCGUCUGAUUCUACUGUUAGAUGUGUUGAGAGGAUUGCGGAUGUUGAUCUCCUGGUUAAUCUACUUCGUACAAUCAUUCCAGAAUACUUUAUGAGGUAUAUCUCUACUAUCUGUAAAGUUACCAUCAGAUAAAUGAGACUAAUAAAAGGAUAGUAGUAAACUUGAAGAUCUCCAGUUCCUUGGUUUCCAAUUUAUACAGAGUUUCUGUAUAAUUUAUACAGAGCUCGUGUUGUAUAACAUUUUCUGCUUCAUAAAAAUGAGUAAUACGAAGAUAUCUACGAAGUACGAGAUCUACGAGCUUCGCAAAACCCACGAACGAACACACGUACGAACAAACGUAGGCGCAAUGUACUUCGUGCUAUAUCAAAAGAUAGUCCAAUCAAGAAUCAUGGCAGGAAGUUGGAAUCGAAAUGGAAAGAAGCAACGCUGGAUCGCGUGCGUUGCAAGAAUAAGAUGAGCCAGCGCGAGAAUUCUUGUUACGCGUUCCCUCCUUGUAUCGAAUAAAUCUAGCUCGAUGACGCCAGCGCGCAGCGAUGGACGCGCCCUGUACGCUAGGUAGGAAGUCAUCCUUCCUAGCAUCCAGAGUCCGCACAGGAAAUCUCGGACGCACCCACCGAAACAGCCCGCCCCCUCCGUCGGAGUCGAUUUAAUGUUUCGUUUCCUCUGCGACGAUAAGGGGCUACAAUUUUAUAGAAGCGGCCGCCCCUCCGCCGCAAACUCUCCACGAAAACGAAAGGAAGACGCCAGUGUACCAACCGAUCCGCAAUUAGACCCUCGUCAAAGUUCCCGCCACGGCAGGAUACGGAGAGGUCGAUCGAAAGUUAGUUUAAACAAUUGCGAAGGUAUUAAAAGUGUUGAUUGUUAGGUAUUAAGUACGUCAUGGUGUGAAAAUGAUCAUAAAUGGUGUAUUUAAUUGGAAAAGUUUCACACAGAACAAAGUGAAAGAUUGUACAGGGUUGGAGCUGGAAAUUUAUAUCGUUACAUAAGUGUUACCAAAAAAACGUCGUGUCUGGAACAAUUAGGAAAAUGAAAUUUUGUUAAGAAACAAAUACGAUACAAAAUGUCCGAAGCACAUAUCACCUGCCAUAUGACAAAAUCGUGAAUGAGCAGAUUUUUACUUUCUUGCCGUAUUAGAGUGGACUAAUGUUUCUUUCUUUUCUUCUUAUCUAAUAUUAAUUAAGACAGACGAUGAACGUGGCAUAACAAGUAUUAUACUAUAUUAAUCGCAUAACGUCAUAAGAAUUUUGAUCGAUGAUUUUUUCGCGUCUGCAAUAAAUAUAAAAUUGUGAAAAUCCAAGGGAUGCGUAUGAUGUAGAAAAAUAUAUAAAAUGUCAGAAGCACACUCGUCAUAAUUUCUACUACUUUUAUUAAGCAAAGCAAAUUACUAUAUAGAUCACACCUCUUUCGUUCUCUUCGCAAAGAUAGAAAAUCCGUAGUCCAGUGACGAGGCAAUAAAAAAUUCUUACUAAAAAAAAAAGUGAAACAAUACGAGAAGCAACGUGCACCGAAAGCUUUCCUCAGCUUCGGCGUGCAUUCGCAAGAAAUUACGAGCGCUCGAAGCCAUCCAAAAUCGAGCGUCGUUAUGCAGCUUGCACACGGAAGGAAGGAAGGAAGUCGAAGAGUGCUAAUCAUCCGGUUUACCCGGCUUUUUUCGGGUCAGCCUCGGUUGUUUGUUCGGUCGCGGGCCGCGUACACGGGGUAUAACACAAGCAGGAAAAAUGAAGGGCAGAAAGCUCGAUUCGCCGAGGCGUGACCAACGGAGUCGAGCAGAAGCUCAUACAUAUGUAGACGACUCAGGCCGGACACCGGGAACCGUGGGGAGGACCCUCCGGAAAAAUGAAUAUGCAGCCCCAUAGAGGGUAUUAUUUUAUAAAAUUUACUAUCCCAGCCAGGUAUUAUGUACUUUUCUGUCGUCCAUUCUCUACCGCGAAUCGAGCGCACGUUAACUAGCCCACCUCGGCAGAUGUGGUCCCUGCGACCAACCACGUUUUCCACGGUAAGAAUCGACGUAAGGCGAAACACGAGAAGAACACGAUUUCAAGUCAGCUUGAUAGUAGAAAGAUUCAUUGACCCUUUGACGGUAUAAUCAAGCGUCAAAGAAUUCACGACAUACGAUUCAGAGAAUAAUUAUUUCUUUGUCGUCGAGAAUUCUUGGAUUUCCUCGGCAGAUAUAAAAACACGCGCCUUCAGCUAUUUAUGGGGAAUAAACAUUAACGAUUUUGUUAAGACUUAUUCGAGAGUCUCCUGCGCUAUACAUAUCGUAGAAGGGGAUGGGACUCUGUUCUGUAUCAUUGAUCGGAAGGAAGUCUGCUAUCUUUGAUUAAUUUUUUUCAAUCACUCGAUCUUUAUUUUUAUGAAUAGAUUUUGUGGUUUUUGACAUGAUUUUAAAGAAAAUUGAGAUCGAACGGAGCACAGAAGUUGUUUCGAAAUACAUGUGAAAUACAUUAUUUUUUACCAUAUCUCGUUAUUGUAACCAAAGACCGUGUCAACGCUACUAUAAAUUAACACACUGAAAUUGAUACUAAAAUAAAGUCAUUAGCGUGCAUUAGAACCCAUAAGCCAGCGAUUUGCUUAUGCUGUCAAACGAAUAAAAGGGAGCACCUGUUGGUGCUUAUGAGAAUAGGAGGGUUAGUGCACAUGGUCAACGUGUAUAUAGAUAUAAAAGAAUUUACAACAGUGCUAAACUGAGUGGAGAUAGGAAUUGACAAAAUUCUGCAAAUCAUCAACGUAACACGAUUGAAAUAUUUCUGAAAAAACCAUUACUCAACAUCGUGACGAUUUAAAUCGAAACAAGAAACUUUCUACGAUAUUUCUCAAUCUCUACGCGUAUUCCUCGGUUAUUAGCGAUAUUGUAAUCUAAGUAUUCAGCUGUAGAUCGAUAUCAGAGGCACAGUUAUCCGUCGCAAUUAAAAAGAAGGAAGAGAGGCACCGAGAGUUUUCUCAAAACUAGAACCAUGUUCCAAACAAAGCGUAACGAAAAGUCCGGGGGCCGGCAUAAAUCUCGCAUAUUCUGCUUCUUACAGCCGUCUAGGACGGCGGUCAGUUUCCCUCGGCGUCUAAGAAAAGCAACGCGCUCGCUCGCUCGCUCGCUCGCUUGCAUUAAAGAGCAAUUAGCCGCGGCUCGCGAGCACGCUGAUGCCCGGAAGCGAUAGAAGCGGGCCGCGCGUGCCACCCUUACCUUUUCUUCGUCUAUGAACGUACCUGUUCGUGUCCGCACACAUCCACGCCGAUCUCGUCCAGUCGUUUUGCCUGCAGGCUCGCUUCGCGGCUAUCCACGAGGUUCCCCUCUUUCCUGCUAGAAUUACUCACCUAACUCUCCUGCUUCAGGAACAUACGUAUUCAGAUAAAGAAAAGACGAUUAGUCUAGGCUGUUGCAAAGGUGAAUUAUAAAUAAGAGGAUUUAAUUUGACGAUACACCAACUUGGAAUUAGUACUUGCUACGUAGAAGAGAACAAAAGACUAAAAGAGAAUGUAACUUGGAAUUUAAAUGCUUUAGGGAAAUCUUUAGACGAAGACUUGUUAAAGUGAAACAAAUGAAGAACAAAUUUUUAUGAAUUAUCCACUGGAAGCAUCGAAGAAAGUACUAAAGUACCAAAGUAUUACAGAGUUCAGUAAUGUAAAACAGAAGAUCAACAUAGAAUCCUUUUUAUCCUUCUUCGCCUGGAUAUUCUCCAUAUGUUUGGGGGUCAAAUAAAUUUGGACUACAAAAUGAACAAUGUUAAAGGGAAAAUAUCAAUUA